rnacentral:sRNA from 1 species
ACACUGCUAAGAUAUCGAAAUCGAAUGUCUAAGGUAAUGUACGAUAGAAAUAUUUCGAAUGUGUAAUUGAAUUUCUUACGAAUUUGUCAUUUAUUCCUUAAACUGUGAGUCCUGUUUCAAACCAAACUACAAAUAUUUUUGUGCAUAUACAUAUGACAAAUUCAUUUUGUAGCAACUUUAGCGCUAUAUCAAUCAACAGAAUGAAGAAAUGUUAAGUGGUCUUUGCAAUUUAAGAUAUGAAUUGUGGUCAAACUAUUAAUAUAAUACGUAGUGCAGAUGAACACAUCUUUAUAAGAAAAAUGUAGUAGAACACAAAUUUACUAUUUUUGUGUAAUAAAACUGAUUAGUAGUAUCAAAGUAUUUUAUAAAUACUUGUGAGAUAUAUAAAGGUCGUUACUAUUUUCAAGAAGAAGUAAUGUAAUGGAUUCACCACACAACCCUACAAACGAUUAUCCAGAUGGUCAGUGAAUAACACUUUUACAGGACAUUUCAAAUAAGUUUCAUAAUUUGCAGAUUUACAUUUUAAAUUUAGAGGAAACAUUAAAGCUGUGCACAUGUUUUUAAUCAUCUGGCAUCAGUAAAAUUACCAUUUUGAGAUGACAAGUUGGCAGCGUGCAACGUGGCUCAAAGCUCAACAGAGUCCUUUCUUCAAAAACUGCGUACCUGCAAGUGAAAAUUUCGGCAACGUUAACGAUACAUCGCUAAGGAUAUGUCAAUGCAUUCUUAUGGUAACAAAAAAAUUGGCCAGAGGGAGUUUAAUAGUUCGCGUGAAAAUACGAACAGAGUACCAACCCUUAUGCGAUACAACAGUUGUUCUGUCGAAAAGUGGAACUUAGAACUAAUGGCCCGUUUGCAUGGCAAAUCUGAUGCAUGGUCAUUGUAAUAGUAUUGGCGAAAUCAAAGGUGUUUGCGUCACAUGUACACAUAACCAUCAGUUAUGGCUGAAAAGUCAAAAUUAUUUAAAUUUUUUCAUAAGUAUGGAGAAUUAAAUAAAACCGAAGAAAAGAUGUAUGAUCGAUGUACCGUUUUUGCAAAAGCUGUAAUCAACACGUACGCAUGAUGAAUACUAUCAUGAUGUGCCGUAUAAAAGGCCCAUAAGUUAUUUUAAAAUACUGGUCAUAUUGUAAUUGUCAAAAAUAAUAAGAAUAAAUAAAAUAUUUAAUACCUAACAAAA